GCGAAGCGUGUUCCUUGUUCUGGCUUGGAGACCUGCGAGGUGAGCGAGACGAGCUCCAGGUAAGUCUCGACUCCUUCUAGGACGGUGCAGAGGAGUGUAGUUCUUAAUGGCUCUACUGAAAAGCAUCUUAUCAUCUUACCCCACGGUCGGCCUCCCCCUAGCUACUUCAUAAAUUGUCUUCCGCCCCGUGGCUGCUGCCUGCCUUGCCUACUCUGCAAACCUUUGGAAGAAGCCAAGAUAGAACCCAGAAUUUUAGUCGCUGGCAACACCUCCUCUUAGAGGUGGCAUUGAUACGCUACCCUAGCGUGAAAAAAAUGGAGAACAGGCCUCACACUAUACAUUUUAAAUAUCCGUCUUCGAAUUGUUGAGCCCAGCUUGGAAAAGGAAAAGAAUUCUAAAGAUGGAUUCAAAAGUAUUUUUAUUUAUUGGUAUUGCGGUGCAUGCACGUUGUGCAUGGUGAGCAAAGCGCUCUACUCUGAAGCUAUUGUUAAUCUCAUGGAUUCGAAGUGGAAGACCACUGACCCAAAUCAUGGCCAGAUUAAUUAAAGCAAACUUUUUAUUAUUAUUAUUCGUUUACACGGACUAUUUCUCCCAAAAGGCAGUGUUCAAGAGAUCAGCACUGGACAUGGGGAAAAUAAGGAUUUUUAUAGUUCAGGAGUAUUGGUUUCCAAAUGGGGGAUUUGGCAUAUAAACAGUGUUAAUAGCAGCGGAAAGUGAACAUAAGUUGGUCAUAACAACCCUCUGAAGUAAGACAUGGUUGCAAGGUGGUCAGUAAUAGCCUUUGGAAACAAAGGCAUAGUUGCCGUUUCCAGGAAAAGGCAGAUCAAGAAUAUUUAGCCAUAUGUUGCUCUGUGACACUAAUCUCUACCACAUUGGACAGCAUAGGGACAGACAGAAGGGCCAACUAUGUACGUGUGUGUAAUAUUAUCCAUAUUUCCAGGCAAAUAGGUAGUUUUGCUUAGGAGACUGCAAACUGUGAGAAAGGUCAGGUGAGCAGUGGGUGGAAGUUGAGUUAAAUAACUCAGAGGAAGGUUUAAAGUUUUAAAAGUCAGCAGGGAGUGGUGCACAAAACUCAAGAAUGAAACACAAAAAGAAAGAACUGUGGUAGCAAUGACAGCCUGUCUGGUUCUUUAGCAGUUUGGAUAGAAUAGUAUAUUACCCAUCCUGUAAUAGACGCUAUGUAGAGACGUUAACUUUCCCCAAAUCUGAUUUGCUUAUUUUACAACCUAGAAAUUGUGAGGACUCCUAAUUCUACCUGGCAGGCAGCUAUCAAACAUUUGUUGUAUUUAACUUCUCUUGGUCUUAGGUUCUCUGUUCCCCCAUCUUUUGUUUUGGAUUUUGAAUGCUUUCUUCAUUAAAAUGGGCAGACAAUGUUUACUUUGAAAAGAUUAUGAAAAGGGAGCUAGGUUUCAGGAUACAUAGCUAGAAUCCCAGCUACUGGGAAGGCUGAGGCAAAAGGACCAUGGCAAGAGCAGCCCAGGCAACCUUAGCAAGGUGCAGUGUAAACAGAGGCAGGGAUGAGGCUCAGAGAGUCCUUGCCUAACAUGCAGGAGGCGCAAGAGCAGUAGUUCUCAACCUGUGGGUUGUGACCCCUUCAUAUGGGGUCAUAUAUCAAAUAUUCUGUGUAUCAGAUAUUUAUAUUAUGUUUCCUAGCAUACAAUGUAGCAAAAUUAUAGUUAUGAGGUAAAAUGAGAUAAUUUUCUAGUUGGGGGUCACUAUAAAAUGAGGAAUUCUAUAAGAGGUUACAGCAUUAGGAAGGUUGAGAACCACUAUAGAGUCUACCCCAAGCAUGCAGAGAGGGAGAGAAGAGGGUCAGUGAGCUGCCUCCUCACCAGGUGAAGACAAGCCUACAACCUCAAGUUAAUCCCUGGGGCCCACAUAGUGAAAGAAGAGAACACAUUUCCAAGGAAGUGUCCUGACCUCCACACAUUCUUAUCUGUAUUGUAUGCACCUAUGCUACACACACACACAUACACACACACACACACACACACACACACACACACACACACACACACGCACAUAGACUCACCAUAGCUUUCAAACAUUCCCUUGCCAGUUCCUUUCUAUCUUGGUGUCCUUUUUUAUCCAUCAGAGAGGCCUGUUAUUCCUAGACUUGGAGUGGAUCCUUCUUGGGAAAUCUGUACGGUCGUACAUUUAGAAUAUGGCUUCCCAGGCCUAAAUCCAUCACAGUUCUGUUAGACUUCUUUAUUCACCUUAAUAGCUAUUCCAAACCUUUGUUAUAUUUUCAUAUCUGAUGUUUCAUUUUUCUUUAAGAAAAUAAGAGGCAUCAGUUUUUAGUUUCUGCUUCAAACACUAAAGAUAUAUUCUGGCUAAGUGCAUUUUCUUUAUAUACACAUUUCGGUGUCUCUUUCUCUCUGAUUUUCCUAGCCAAUCUAAUAGGAAAGUCAGGCUUUUAUCUACUCAUUGGGAUUUAUUUCAGCACUCUGGAAGGUCUAUGCUUCUAACCAAGUCUAAUCCAGACAACCAUCAUUUGUUGCUUCUUUUUUUCAUUGUUACUGUCUUUAGAACUCCAGCACACCAACCAUGUGGCUGGUAUCCCUGAGAAAAUAUUUAUGCUUUAAAUAAUCCUACAUCCAGAUCAGUGUCUUUGCAUUAUAAAAUGACCUCUCAUUUUGGGAGCUAAUACUUACAUCAUAUAACCCUAUGAAUAAUCAAAGCACAUAUACAGACUCUAACACACUUGUAAUUACUAAUUCACUUGGAUUUAAAUAGAUAGCUGAACCAUCUAAAGUUUCUACUAUAAACUUUGUCCUGGUUUUGAACUAUAUAGUUCAUGUGCCUACCUGAUCUAUAAAUGAGUUUUAUGGUAUUUAUCUGUAUAGUGACUAAGAACUGUAAUUAAAGAUUUGGUAGAGUAUUUGUCUGACAUGCAUGAAUGCAGGGUUUGAUUCCUAGCACAAGUGCCUGGGAAGUGGAGGCAGGAAGAUAAGCAGUUUGGUAAGCUUUGGCUUCCUGGGGAGUUCAAAGCUAAGCUGGCCUAUGUUAGACCCACUUUCAAAAGCCACCUUAACAAUAAACAAUCAAACAAAGCAGAGUCAGCUGUGGUGGGACAUGCCUGUAGCUCCAAUGCCAGGGAGGCCCGGGGCUCAGGCAAAGGAAUUAUAAUAUGAAGUUAGCCUGGUUUACAUAAUGAAAUCCUGUAUCAUAAAGAAAAAAGCCCUGGACUCAAGCUAUCAUUGCUUGACUCAAGUACUAUAGGAAUACAAUCUAGUGGAGGAUUAAUGCUCUACCCAAUACACUUGUGUGUCAAUAAGUUUUAGUUGUUUCAGCAGCUUUGUGCCAGGCUUGUGAUUCCAGCUACUUGAGAAAGAGAGGUAGAAAGAUGACUGGUUCAUAGUGAGACCUUGUUUCAAAAUAAAAGGUAAAAAGAAGUCUGGGCAUACAGCUUGGUGGUAGAACACUCGUUUAGCCUGGGUGAGGUCCUGGAUCAACCCCCAUUGCCUCUACAGAAUUUACUUCUGUCAUGGGAAGUUCCCUGUGCUGGGCAGAAGCCCCUCAGCUUGCUGGGAUCCCAUCGUGACUCAACUGUUGGCACUUUAGUUGCCUGGAAACAGACAAGGAUAUAUUAACCCAACAACAUGCCAGCAGUAUGAGGCAGGAGACAUACACAGAAACGAGGUCAGCUUGGGCUAUAGAGUGAAACCAUCUCAUAAAACAAAGAACAAAGC
rnacentral:lncRNA from 1 species